rnacentral:rRNA from 1 species
GAGGAAUAUUGGUCAAUGGGCGAGAGCCUGAACCAGCCAAGUCGCGUGAGGGAAGAAUGGUCUAUGGCCUGUAAACCUCUUUUGUCAAGGAAGAAUAAGGAUGACGAGUCAUUCGAUGCCAGUACUUGACGAAUAAGCAUCGGCUAACUCCGUGCCAGCAGCCGCGGUAAUACGGGGGAUGCGAGCGUUAUCCGGAUUUAUUGGGUUUAAAGGGCGCGUAGGCGGGACGGCAAGUCAGCGGUAAAAGACUGCAGCUAAACUGUAGCACGCCGUUGAAACUGUUGACCUCGAGACGAGACGAGGGAGGCGGAACAAGUGAAGUAGCGGUGAAAUGCAUAGAUAUCACUUGGAACCCCGAUAGCGAAGGCAGCUUCCCAGGCUCGUUCUGACGCUGAUGCGCGAGAGCGUGGGUAGCGAACAGGAUUAGAUACCCUGGUAGUCCACGCCGUAAACGAUGCUCACUGGAUCUUGGCGAUACACGGCCAGGGUUCAAGCGAAAGUAUUAAGUGAGCCACCUGGGGAGUACGUCGGCAACGAUGAAACUCAAAGGAAUUGACGGGGGCCCGCACAAGCGGAGGAACAUGUGGUUUAAUUCGAUGAUACGCGAGGAACCUUACCCGGGUUUAAAUGUAGAUUGCAUGAGGUGGAAACACUUCUUCCCUUCGGGGCUAUUUACAAGGUGCUGCAUGGUUGUCGUCAGCUCGUGCCGUAAGGUGUCGGGUUAAGUCCCAUAACGAGCGCAACCCCUAUCGCCAGUUGCCAUCGGUUCAAGCCGGGCACUCUGUCGAGACUGCCACCGUAAGGUGCGAGGAAGGCGGGGAUGACGUCAAAUCAGCACGGCCCUUACACCCGGGGCGACACACGUGUUACAAUGGCCGGUACAGAGGGCAGCCACGGGGUGACCCGGAGCGAAUCUCUAAAGCCGGUCGUAGUUCGGACUGGAGUCUGCAACCCGACUCCACGAAGUUGGAUUCGCUAGUAAUCGCGCAUCAGCCAUGGCGCGGUGAAUACGUUCCCG